rnacentral:rRNA from 1 species
CCUACGGGUGGCAGCAGUGAGGAAUAUUGGUCAAUGGGCGGGAGCCUGAACCAGCCAAGUCGCGUGAGGGAAGACGGUCCUAUGGAUUGUAAACUUCUUUUGGCGGGGAGCAAUGCCGGGCACGCGUGUCUGGAGGGAGAGUACCCGCAGAAUAAGCAUCGGCUAACUCCGUGCCAGCAGCCGCGGUAAUACGGAGGAUGCGAGCGUUAUCCGGAUUUAUUGGGUUUAAAGGGUGCGUAGGCGGAUUUUUAAGUCAGCGGUAAAAUGUCCGGGCUCAACCGUAAAAUUGCAGUUGAGACUGGCAGUCUUGAGUACAGUAGAGGUAGGCGGAAUGCGUGGUGUAGCGGUGAAAUGCUUAGAGAUCACGAAGAACUCCGAUUGCGAAGGCGGUUCACUGGACUGCAACUGACACUGAGGCUCGAAAGUGUGGGUAUCGAACGGGAUUAGAUACCCCAGUAGUC